CACGGUGUCUUAUACUGGUCACGCGGACCAAUCGGCGCCCGCGCCUGGCGGAAGAGGCGGAGCGAGAAGCUCCUGCGAGGACCACCAGGGCGCCUGCGCACAAAGCGUGACUGGCUUGUUAGCGAGUUCAGAAAGUUGGUGGGUCCGCGCUUGCAGUGGCGUCUUCUCUUGGUUCAGCUGAAACGCAGGGCUCAUGAACAGUAAAAAUAUUUUUAGGAAAAAGUUAUCUAGGUAAAUGGACGUCACUCGCACGUACUGUAUCCCAUGUAACAGUAUUUAGGCAUUUAAUGACGUCGGCAGCCUCCCCCAGCUGGCUGUGACCACUUGGAGCGCAGGAGCUAAAUUUCAGCCCGGAGGGCUCGCUUGCUUAGCGCAGCGUCUCGGAUAAAAUAAGUGAUUUAAGAGGAAGCGAGAAGCGUGUUCGGAGAGCAGUAGCAUUUGAGCACCUAUAUCCCAGGAAUUGAGCCACACUCUACAAGGAUUCAUUUAAUCCCGACACAGCCUAAGAGAUAUCUUUGGAACCUUCGGGGGAAUCUCUGAUCUGCACCAGCGUCUGAUGUAUCUGAGGUCUGUGGUAUUCAACAAAGCUGCAGUUCUACAGGGUGACUCUGAAGACUGCUGGCUCUGCUUGGAGACAUCACCAACACAAAUGAAAAUGUUCUCUCGUUACUGAAACCGAUAAAGAUUUUGACUUUGGCCUCAAGAGAACAAGCUGCUUUUUGCAAAUGACAGCCCUCCCCUCCGCGCAGGGAUUGCUGUACCCAGAGCGUUUAAGAAAACCAGACAUCAGUGUAAGUUGGAGGAACAGCUGUGUUCAGAAAUGGGUCUUUGCCUUUUCCUCCACAAUGGAUUGUUGACCAGAAAAUCAGAGGCCGGCAUUCAACUAAUACGUGAUAAAGAGUUGUUAUACAGUGUGAAUAGGUGUUUCAUAUAGUACCAUGGCCAAACAAAUUUGGGACACAGCAGAGCCAAAUGAAGGGUCUCUCCAACACAUCUGAUCACACUGAUCCACUGCCCCUUGCCUUCCUUAGAACUUCUCACGUGAGCUGAGUUCCACAACAAACACUUUUAAGACGGCAGCAGGUCAAACAGGUCACUUUGUACUCAAAUGGUUUCCUAAAACCUCCCACUUCUCAUUCCAAUCGGUGACAGAUUCGUUGCUCUCUAGAAACCGAGCAAUGGAAAGCAGAGCUAUGAUGAGCGAAGGACAAUGCGGUUAGCUAAACGGCCUCAUUCGAAUACAUUCAAGUUUUAUCACCACCGUGGCAUCUGGGAAAUUUGGGGGGCGGUGUUUCUCAUGCAGGGGGAGGAAGAAGAGGGUCAUCCCAUUACGAGUUUGUCACCCCCCGCAAAAUCCUCUUUGAGAUCGUGCGGUGGCGAGCAUUGCUACCAAUGGGAGUAUGGCACAUUUCCAAGGUGUAUUGAGACAAUAAAAACCUGAGGGCCGCUACAUGAAAAGACACCUUCCCAGUGAGCUCUCCAGCUCACCCUCUGCCAACCUUUUUGCCUUUCCUUUUUGACUUUGGCUGAGGCAAACCCACAUUACACUUAAUACCUAAUGGUAAUUAAUAUUUUUGAACCCACUGUCUGUAUCUAGAAGCUUCCAAAUCAGCACAUUGCAAACUGCCAUCCAAUUUUAAUUUGUAACGCUGUCCAAAAGUAUACGGUGGGACUGAGUUUGCCAAACGUAUAAAAACAUUAUGAAACGCUGGUCUUCUUUUGUUGAUGUAACAUUUUCUUUCCCAUCAUUAAGGAUGGCGAAAGAGUCACAUCACCCAAAAUUAAAUAAUCUGAAGGUCCUUCAAAUUAAUCGCCUAUAACUUUCAACUAUGUCUGAACUAAACAAACAUUUUCCUCUCCUUAAACAAAAGAGAUGUUAAAGAGCUUCAUGUCUUUGGCACCUGCUAGAAUAGGGUAUUUAAACUCUGUGCCUUUUUGCAGCAUAAAAUUGAAGUUACAGCAAGGCGAAACGGGUGCCCACAGACCCUGCUGGAGUAAAAUUCCACUAGGAGUGUCAGAUUAUCGCCCCAAACCAAAUUUUGUCAUGCAGCGGGCAAUUAAUGUACCAAAAAUUUACCAGCCCAUAUAAUUUUAUCAGUCUACCUUUCCCCAGAGGAAGUAAAUAAACAGUAAAACUAAUGAAAUCAUAUUUCUUGACCACUCUCAGCCAAUAUAAAUUUUUACUUGUCCUCAGAGGGUUGGACGAUGAGCUAUUCGUGAGGCCAUUCAAGUUUCUGGGCCAGUUAACCACAGAGGCAGUAUUCUAAGUUUUGAGGGUGUUCCUGAGUCAGCAAAGAGGAUCCUGCUUUGUGAUGGACAGCCCCUCAAGUCAGUAGCAAGUGCAGAUCAGGGGUUGAUGGGCGUCUGCUACAGUUUUGCAUCAGCAUUUCUGAACUCUCUGAAAACAGCACGAAAUACUAAACUUUAACUCCUAAGGCAACAGAUGAGAAAAUGCUCAGUGUGCUACUCUUGUGCAGAGUAGACAGCAGGGGAUACAUCCUUAGGUGGCGAGUUGCUGAAAAUUAGGUCAACUGCAACAAAGCUGAGAGGCCCGGUGCCUUCUGGAACUCAUGACGCCAGCAUUUUUCCCAUUUGGCCUGUGGCCCUUCUGCAUUAGGAUCACCUGGGGACUUCCUCAGAUUCAGGGCAAAUCUCCUCCAAAAGACCUACAUCUUAAACUACUAACACAGAAUCCCCUGAUUUGGCCUGGGAAUCCGCACUGGUCGCCAACUCACCAAAUGUGUCUGAUUCGCAGCAAAGCUUGAGGAUCACUGUAGUUGACCAACCCUUUACAAGGUCUUUGACAUCCUCUGCCCAGGAACACUAAACUUUGCAGCACCUUUGAAAUGCUGAAGCAAUAUUAAAUGGAUAGCAUCCCCAAAUAGAGCCAUGCCAUUGGUUUACACAGUGACAGAUGAGCACAGCCAACUGGAAUUAACUCAGCCGGCUCCCAUGCCUCACACAUUUGAUCUGCACUGCAUAAUACUUUGCAGCAUCGAAUUGGCAACGAGAAAACAGAACAAAACAGAACACAGACACCCAGCCAUGUGGCCUUUAGAGAAAAUCCAAAUCCACGUGACAUGGGAAUUGGCACUUUAAGGCACAACAGACUUGUGGGAAAGAGGACUCUUCUAUUCAUUCAUUCAUUCCCUUCACUAGGUGGGGAAAGGAAGAAGCCCCCUCCCCAAACCAGGUCUCUUCAUCCUGAAGUGUCUCCCCAGUCCCCAGGGUUCCCACAGACCCAGCUUCCUCUUACUCCGCCCCCUCCACCCCCCCCCACCCCCCGCUGAUCUUUCUGGCUCAUUCUCCUCCCACCGUGGAGGUCUUGGCAGGAGCUGUGCCAUGUGGGACUCAACAAAUGAAGCAGGGUCCGUUUUCAAAGGGUAACACUACAAGAGUAGUAAAGCUUCAUCCGGCCACUUAAUAGGAAGGCUUCUAACUGCCUUAUUUUAAAUAAAUUUAAGACUUAAUGAACUAUUAAGGAUUCGCCUGAACAAGGACUUACUUGAACCCAUCUUCCCCUUUUAAAAUCACAGUUAUAGAAUAAGUGCACAUUGAGAGACAUUUCCCCAGUUAAAUACCUUAUUGACAUGAACGCACUCAAAAAUGCCAAGACAUCAACCACCGUGAAUAUUUUAGACCUUGGUGAACAGGUACCACUAGGCACUUAUGGUGCUUAGGAGGUUGUAGCUUAAUGUUGACAUCUGGCAUGAAAAGCUUAUGGUCUGAAUCAUGUUUCUUUUUUAUGUAAUUCUGGCUCAGGAAUCCGAUACAGAGCAGCUGAGAAAUAAAUUAUGUUGCUGAGGCUGAAGAUGAGGCACAGAAGUACAGCUCCAGCUAUCUGAGGGAAAGACAGGGGCCUCGAGUUGGCCAGGAGCCAUUCCCUCCUCAGAGUCUUAUCCAGAACAAUGGCUUCCAUCUGCAGGUGUGUGGCCAGGAUCACACACACGUGGAACAGCUGGUGACUGUGACCUACGGCGAACACAGAAAAGGCUGCCAGGAUCAGCAACAAAAAACGAACAGGGGCCCCUGGGUGGCGCAGUUGGUUAAGCUUCCAACUCUUGAUUUCGGCUCAGGUCACGAUCUCACAGUUUGUGAGUUCGAGCCCCGCAUUGGGUUCUGCGCUGACAGAGCAGAGCCUGCUGGGGAUUCUCUCUCUCUCCCUCUCUCUCUGCCCCUCCUGUAUCUCUCUCUCUCUCUCUCUCUCUCAAAAUAAAUAACUAAACUUUUUUUUUUUUUUAAAGGAAUAGACUGCUGAUACUGUUCCAUGGUGUAUAGGCUAAAAACAUUAUGCUGGGUAAAGAAGCUAGACACAAGGGACCACAUAUUGUCAGAAUCCAUUUAUAUCAAAUGUCCAGGAAAGGCAAAUCCACAGAUGCAAAGUAGGUUAGUGGUUUCUUCAGGCAGGGGGUAGGAAUCAGGAUUAAUAAGACAUGGGCAGGAGGGAUCUUACCGGGGUGAUGAUCAUGUUCUAAAACUCAUUUGCGAUGAUGGGGAUUCAAUUUGGGGGGUUAACUAAAAAUAUCACUGAAUUGUAUCCUUGAAAUCAGGGAACCAUGUGAUACGUAAAAUAUGCCUCCAAACAUUUAUUUGUUUUUUAAAUGUUUGUUCAUUUAUUUUUGAGACAGACAGCAUAAGCAGGGGAAGGGCAGAGAGAGAGGAAGACAGAGAAUCCCAAGCAGGUUCCGCACUGACAGCACAGAGCCCUACAAGGGGCCUGAAAUCGCCAACCAUGAAAUCGUGACCUGAGCCGAAACCAAGAUUCUGAUGCUCAACCAACUGAGCCACCCAGGCGCCCCAACAUUUUUUUUUAAUGCAGUGUGAGAAAAAUUAAAAGGCCCGAGUACAUUUUUUCAACUUGUCCACCAGUCCUGUUUUCGCAUGAAGUCUGGCAUCAUGUUCUCCCAAAGUUCACCUCUUCAGAACCAGCACUCAUCAGCUCCAAUUCUGAGGCCAACGGAGAAGCCAACCAGACUUUCUAUUGGCCAGUUACAAGGUAGCCCUCUCCUUACUGCUGGUUAAUCCCAGACAUGACCAGGGGCUCUUCCUCCCUGAUGACCUUCAGGACCUUGGCUCACCAGCUAUGUGUCCACAGAGGGGAGGACCCAGCAGAGGGGGGUGGUAGUGGGCGGGAACAUGCUGAGUUGGUAGUGAUGAGAAAAAGAGUCCAUUGCCCAGGGCCGAGGACUGUUUGGGGACAACCCUCAGAAAUCAGAAGAUGAAAAGAGAACAAAGACAGCAUGUGUCAUGGGCUGAGUUGUGUCUCCCUUCCCCCAGUUCCAAAUGUUGAAGUCCCAAUGCCCAGUACCUCAGAAUGUGACCGUAUCUGGAGACAGGAUCUUUUAUUAUUUUAAGUUUAUAUAUUUAUUUUGAGAGAGAGAGGGAGAGAGGCAGAGGGAGGGGCAGAGAGAGAGAGAGAGAGGGAGAGAGAGAAAAUCCCAAGCAGGCUCCGUGCUGUUGACAGCAGUGAGCCUGAUGUGGGGCUUGAACUCACGAACCACAAGAUCAUGACCUGACACUCAACUGACCGAGCCACCCAGGUGCCCUGUGACUGGUACACUUCUAAGAGGAGGAAGUUAGGACCUGGGCAUGAAUGUACACAGAGGAAAGACCACGUGAGGAGAGACAGAGAAGACGGCCGUCUGCAAGCCAGGGAGAGAGCCAGGAGAGAGACGGACCCAGCCCCCACCUUGGUCUCAGCCUCCAAAAUUAUGAGAAAAUGCGUUUCUGUUGUUUAAGCCACUCAGUCUGUGAUUCUUUGUUAUGGCAGUCCUAGCAAACAGACACAACACAAGAGUUAAGGAUUCUCUUUCAUUAAAAGAGAGAGAGAGAGAGAGAGAGAGAGAGAGAGAUUCCUGCAAUCUGGCUGGACAGGAAUAUGGAGGAACUUCCUACAGGCAGGGCCAGCGCUAACCAGUUAGCACUCUGCCCCACGUCGGAGAGGCAAUCCCACAUCUGGCAGACCCCAUUAUUGUGGGACGGAUCAUUUUCCAAACCCGUUGUUAAUGACCUGUCAUUAACAGUUGUCUGGCAAAUGUCUGGCCAAUGGAGGGGUGUCUCUGGGUUCUGUUCCCCUAGGCCCAAGAGAGUGGGAUUAAAAGUGAAUAAAUGAAAUGUUAUUAAGACACCUGGGAGUGGGUAAAACAAGGCCAGGGCUAUUUUUUCCUGCAGUCCCCGGACUUCAUUUACAACCACCGAUACUUUGUCUAGGUGGGGCUCGAGAGGUGGACAGGGCUCCUGUAGACAAGUUCCAACUCCAUGGCCCUCUCGUCUCCCCCAACCCCUCACCUUUUUGUUUGAAAUUUACCCUCCAAGCAUUUUGGUCCUUGGUGUCCCUUCUGAUAGGACAGAAUCGAAGCAAAGGAGAUGAAGCUCUUUUCAGAGCCAAUAAAGCAAAUCUGGCCACAUGUCUUAGGUGGGAGGAGAUGAAAAAUAUCACUGGAGAAAUGGGCUUGGGGAGAACCAGGGUCCCUGCCCACCAUUUAAGGAUAAGGGCUGACCCUUGAACCCCCAUGACAGCGUAUCUAGGGAGCUCUCAUCUCAAGGACUCCUCAGCCUCACCAGAAGUGGCCCAAGGGUCCCUCCUCCAGCCAGUGCCCGACCUGCUUCCCUAGACAGAGAGGGAAGGCGCUCUCCCAGCAGGUAGAAGUCCUCUGGCUCUGACAGCUCCUCUCCAGCACAUCACUUCUCUAACGGCGGUGAGCUCAGGUUCCCCUGGAGAGUCACCCAGCCUCUGAGUGAGACACCCCGAGCUUCUGGUUCGGGAUGUCCGGGGGCCUGAGAAUCUGAGAAUUCCCAGAUAAUGCUAAAUGCUGAUGCUCCAGGGGCCACACCUGAGAACCAAGACUCCUGGCCCCACUGCAGCCGCCUGAACGAGACGAAGACACGCUCCCCUCCUUGGCACAGCCCCUGCCAUCUGUCAGCCUCGGGGCCAUCUGCACUCGGUCUGUCUUGAUCCUCUCCAGGGCUGCCCUCGAUGUCCAUUUAAUCCUGGGAUUUCAUCUUCGGGGUAAUAACGGGACUCCCUAGGCCCCAUAGCCCAUAGGAAUGCCUUAGAAUCCUAGAUGCACCUGUUCUCCAUCCUCCCAUCCUACCUGGCCAUUUGCUGGCUACGUACAUCCUGGCCUCCAUUGCCUUACAGUUUCACUUCCCUUGGCCUGCUCCGAGAGAAGCCCCUGGGGAACUGCGUCUCUCCAUGCCCCUGCUUCCCCUUUGAGACCGCAUGCACUGGCGUCCUGGUGGCAGGGAGACAACGGGGCCGCCGCGCACUCACCGAUGUAGUCGAAGCGUCCAGGCGCCAGGCGCUCUGGCAGGUGUGCGGAGUAGAAGAAAGAGGCCAGGAGGGUCAUGGCCGUGUGCUUCUGGUGGUACAAGGCGGCUUCAUUCUGCGCACCAUCCCCCGAAAGCAGGAACAGCUGCAGGGAUUCAGAGGAACAUCAGGUCUCGAGAGGAGGCCCCCUUCCUUCUCAUCACCCGAAGCCAUCUCUGCACACGCGUGCGGGCACCACGGGCCAAGGCCCUCACCUCCUUGGUCUGUGGCUCGGAAGGGGAACUCUCAGGGACCGUGGGAGCAGAAUUCCUAUUCCUUUUCUUUUUUUAAUAUUAAAAAAAUUUUUUUUUAGGUUUAUUUAGAGAGAGAGAGAGAGAGAGUGCAGGGGAGGGGCAGAGAGAAAGGGAGAAAGAGAAUCCCAAGCAGGCUCCGCACUGUUAGCACAGAGCCCAAUGCGGGGCUCAAAGUCACAAACUGCGAGAUUAUGACCUGGGCCGAAAUCAAGAGUCGGACGGACACUUAACCGACUGUGGCACCUAGGUGCCUCUUAAUAUUUUUUUUAAUGUUUAUUCAUUUUUGUGUGAGAGAGAGACAGAGCGCAAAUAGGGGAGGGGCAGAGAGAGAAAGAGACCCAGAAUCCGAAGCAGGCUCCCAGGCUCUGAGCUGUCAGCACAGAGCCCGAACCGGGGCUCGAACUCACAAACCAUGAGAUUAUGACCUGAGCCGAAGUCAGAUGCUUAACCAACUGAGCCACCCAGGCUCCCCCAUAAUUCUGACUGUGAUCUUUUGAGAGACCCAAGGCAACUGUAUUUUAUUUUACUUUUUCUCCCCGCAGGGCAGCUGUAUUUUAAUCCUCUAAAUGUCCAUAAAGCCUUUUGGGUUGUUUAAUUACGAAAGAAAAGGAAAGAAAUCAAGGAAAAGGAAAAGAAAAAUCCUACUAGAUCUAUUUGCUACUCUUUUGUCUGGGGGUAAAAUGUAAGUAUAGUAAAAAGUGGUCUAGUCACCCUUGAACUCACUUCUCACCAGCGCAUCCCCUGAUUUCAAGCUCCUAAUUAAGGCUUUAAAGCCUAGAAAUCCCUGGAAGGCCUUUCUGAGUCAUCAAAACGUGUUAAUUACAGCCAUUAUCCUGUUUGAGAGCUAAGUAUAGUUUUUGUAUUACCGUUAUAAUGACAGCAGCCAUCACUUACCUAGGGCACUAAGCCAGCCUUUUAUUUGCACAAUUUCAUCACAGCCUCAACAACUACCAAAACAUCCCACUUUGCCGAUGAGGAAGCUGGGCCAGAGGGUGACUUGCAAACCACUAAUCAGCAGUGAAGUCAGGAUGUGGAUCCAGGCAGGCUGAUUCCAGAACCGAUGCUCUCGUCAACUUCCCCGCUCACGAUCAGACCUCCUGGCCCCUUCUCCGCCCCCUGUCUGACUCAGCUGGUGCUCCUAAUAACGCAGACCUGUGCUAUGCGAUUUGGUGGCAUGUGGGAACGGCUUGCUCUCUGCUCUGGUUUCCUAUGGGUGUUCUGUGUCGUUGAGGAAGGAGUCAGGGGAAUGGGCCGCACCCACGCCUCUGGGUCUCCCCCCAAUCCCAGGCUCACACAGGUGGCGCCGGCUCUGGCCCUCCCCUUCGGUACCCUGACUUGCGCAUCAAACUUCAAGCUGCCCCUGGGAGGGAAACUCCACUCACUAGGUGCAGGCCCUCUGCCGGGCAUUGCUGAGCCCUCCGAUCUGCUGAUUUGAUUAAGCCCCUCUACCCCUCUGUGCGGGAGAGGAUGUCAGCCUCAUUAACAGAUGAAGAAACUGAGGCUCAGAGAGAUCAGGUGCAUUCCCUAAGGUCACAGAGCCAGUGCGCGCUGGGAUUUGAACUCAGGUCCAUCCGAUUUGUGAGUGCCUCUCCCCUUUCUUGUGUCCCUCCUACACCCCCUUGCUUCAUGUUCUCCAAUUCCCAUCUAUCUUACGACCUUCAUUUAUCCUUUUUCCUUCGCUGCUAGUAUGUUAGUUGAUAAUAAUACAGAAUAAAUGCAUUUAUUGGCCACUUGCCACGAGCCAGCGA